UGACGCUACUGACGCUACUGACGCUACUGACUGAUGCCGUUAAGGUUAUAAUUCUAUUCAUUCUGUGUACAAGAAAAUUGCGAGAUUGGUGUUGUAUUUGUUACAAUUGUUCCGAUAGUUUUGGAAAAUCGACAUUAUUUAAAUAUUUUUUUAGCUAAUUAUUUUUUUUAACGAGUUUCGUUUUUUUACGCGUUUCGUUCGUUUUGUCAUGCCGACGUGCAUUGUGCCCGGCUGUACUUCGGGAUACUCUUCGAAUCCGGAAAAAGUGCAUUUUUUUACAAUACCGAGAGAUCCCACGAGUGAAAAGUUGUGGAAAGAUGCAGUCCAUCGAGCCAAUAGUUCUGUUAAAGCAGGAAGAGCGGUGUGUGAAAAACACUUUUUGAAGGACGAAAUUCUUUGGCAGCGUCAAUUGCUCGGUCCUAAUGGACAGGUAGUUGGAAUAGGACAAUACAAAAUACCUCGAUUGAGAAAAGGAUGUGUGCCAUCGCAGUUUUCAUGGACGAUAUCAGAGAAUGUGAUCGAUAAGUCUAUUGAUAUGUUUCCCUCUCAAUUUUCUUCACUGGGAUCUCUAGAGCAGACUGAGACUUUAACGUCGAAUAUCAAAGAGAAUAUUAUUUCUUCAUCUAAAGCCGAUCUUAUUCAAGAUAAAAGUAUACCGAGCAAUUUAGCCAGUGAAAUUCCAAUGAAGCGAGGCCAUGUAUCUCCAGCAAUUCAAAGUAUCAGUGUUAAGAGUGCUUCGAGUGUAAGCCUGCAAUUUACAGAACUCCUGACAGCAGAAGUGAGUCUUCCUUCAGGGUGGAUAAAAUAUAACACUGGCUGCGGAGGAAAAAAGUUGGUUUUCUUUUAUACCAAUAAAACCCUGGAGAUCGAGAAGACGUAUCACAUGUUUCCAUUUAAAAAUGUAGCGGUGGAGGAGAAUAUGUCCAUUCAGUUGAAGAUUGUCGGUAUUUUGCUCGAUGCGAGUAAGUUUGACAUGCCUCGCUACAUUACUAGCAUCGAACAAUUACAGGAUUUGUUGUUGAAGAUUCAUCGUCUCACUGUGUGUUCUGGUGCCAUACAGUCAUCGGUCACAUCUGGAUUGGAAGCAAGCUCCAACGCAUUACGAAAAGAUAUCGGCGAUACUUGGCGUCACAAUCAGUGUGCUCUGCUACUUUUCAAUGACAAAAUUUGUGCCCAUUGUAGGUCAGCAAAGAAUACUUUUAAAAAAAGCUGUCGAAGACAUGCUCGAGACGAAGUGAAUCCACAAAAAAAAAAGCAGUUGUCAGUGUUGCAGAAGAAAUAUCGCUCUGCGCUACGAGCCAAACGACUCGCGCAAGAAAAAAUUAAAACGCUGAAAUCGAAGGUUUUCGAAAUUCGUCGACAAUUGGCACGGUGCAGUAAUCAACAUCUUAAGCGUCAUGUGAAGGAUGGAAAUAUACCUCGAAGCCGCGAAGCACAGAAACUCGAAAGGACGAAAUAACUCCAAACAGUGGAUGCUUUUAUGCAUGCUCCUUCAUAUGAGAUCUCCAUCAGGCUAUGAGUUCCUGCGAUCCAACGAUAUUCUACCUCUCCCGUGUGUGAGAACUGUUCGAAGAUCAAAACUGGUUGCGGCUUUGAUCCUCGAUUCUUCGAAGUGUUGAAAGUAGCACUGAGCAAAAAGGGUGAACCGGAAAAACACGGGGUUCUAUUGCUGGACGAAAUAUCAACCCGAGAAAGUGUCAGUGUUGACACGACAAAUCUCUCAUGUAAAAGACUCGUAGAUUUUGGCGGGGAAGGCAGUACAUCCUCCGGUCUUACGGAAAAAGCUAAUCAUGGAUUAGUUUUGAUGUUGCAGGGCAAUUAUUGUCAGCCAAUUGCGGUUUUUGCAUCAAGAGGACCCGUUAAAGGAGUAGUGCUUGCCCAGCUGAUAAUAAAAGCAAUUGUAUUACUGGAAAAAGUUGGUACACAAAAGUUUUGGUCUGAACUCUGUGUGUGUGGAGCGAAAGACCAGCUUCGUAAUUAUUUCGAGCACCCCUUAGUGGAAGGUCGAAACGGUCAAAACAUUUACGCGUUUUCUGAUACCCCACACCUCCUGAAAACCAUAAGAAAUCGUCUGUACAACAACAGAGUUUUACAGAUGGAUCCUUUGAAGCAAGAAAUGAAAUGGGAGUACAUCAAACUUCUGUACGAAAAGGACCGAGAACAUGCGGGUCCCGGACAAACUUUGAUCUGUCCACGGUUAACAGCGAGUCGCGUCUUUUUAAAUAAU